GCUUGUCAAUCCCGAUCCUGGGGAAAAGAACUGAACACUUUUACAUUUGGUGCCCCAGAGACUUCUACAGCAGGGCAGGUCUUUGCCUCAUGAAGGAGGGCCAGAUGGAGGAAGAAAGAGGAGAUGAUGCCCCAUGGAAAUAGAUGAAACACAUUUUGAGAAGAGGGAGCCCAUCUCCCACACUGUACAGACCAGACUAACAUUACUGGAAUACCUUCAGUAGGUUUGGCUUGAAAUCAUGAAUGGACA